AGAGUUUGAUCCUGGCUCAGAUUGAACGCUGGCGGCAGGCCUAACACAUGCAAGUCGAGCGGUAGAGAGAAGCUUGCUUCUCUUGAGAGCGGCGGACGGGUGAGUAAUGCCUAGGAAUCUGCCUAGUGGUGGGGGAUAACGUUCGGAAACGGACGCUAAUACCGCAUACGUCCUACGGGAGAAAGCGGGGGACCUUCGGGCCUCGCGCCAUUAGAUGAGCCUAGGUCGGAUUAGCUAGUUGGUGAGGUAAAGGCUCACCAAGGCGACGAUCCGUAACUGGUCUGAGAGGAUGAUCAGUCACACUGGAACUGAGACACGGUCCAGACUCCUACGGGAGGCAGCAGUGGGGAAUAUUGGACAAUGGGCGAAAGCCUGAUCCAGCCAUGCCGCGUGUGUGAAGAAGGUCUUCGGAUUGUAAAGCACUUUAAGUUGGGAGGAAGGGUAGUAACUUAAUACGUUGCUACUUUGACGUUACCGACAGAAUAAGCACCGGCUAACUUCGUGCCAGCAGCCGCGGUAAUACGAAGGGUGCAAGCGUUAAUCGGAAUUACUGGGCGUAAAGCGCGCGUAGGUGGUUCAGUAAGUUGGAAGUGAAAUCCCCGGGCUCAACCUGGGAACUGCUUUCAAAACUGCUGAGCUAGAGUACGGUAGAGGGUGGUGGAAUUUCCUGUGUAGCGGUGAAAUGCGUAGAUAUAGGAAGGAACACCAGUGGCGAAGGCGACCACCUGGACUGAUACUGACACUGAGGUGCGAAAGCGUGGGGAGCAAACAGGAUUAGAUACCCUGGUAGUCG
rnacentral:rRNA from 1 species